GUGGUGUGCUCAGACUUGGAUUUGGGACUCAAAGAAACCUGCCUGUUUUGCAUUGGUCCGGUGAGUUGUGUUUUUCUGCUCCAUUGUUUUGGGCAUAACUUGAGAUGAACUCGACGGAUUUUGAUGAGGUUUUUUUUGAACGUUAGGAAAUUUCAUAAGCUUUCCGGAGAGCGUUCACGUUCCCCGUGAAAGUAAUCCGUUGGGGAGAUAUCUUGCUCAGAAGCCAAAGUGGUCGUGACCAAGGUUUACUUGGAGUGUAUUGUGAUUUUGGAGAAUUAUCAGAGAAUGUUUCAAGUUAAAUUCCGAUUUCAAGAUCAGGGUUGGUACUCCUUUAACUGAGGAAUCCGUGGAAUCAAGAACUGUGAAUAACCGAUAACAUUUUG
rnacentral:lncRNA from 1 species